rnacentral:rRNA from 1 species
CAGCCGUAAACUAUGCGCGUUAGGUGUAUCGGUGACCACGAGUUACCGAGGUGCCGAAGGGAAACCGUGAAACGUGCCGCCUGGGAAGUACGGUCGCAAGGCUGAAACUUAAAGGAAUUGGCGGGGGGAGCACCACAACGGGUGGAGCCUGCGGUUUAAUUGGACUCAACGCCGGGAAGGCUCACCGGAUAAGACAGCGGAAUGAUUGCCGGGCUGAAGACUCUGCAUGACUAGCUGAGAGGAGGUGCAUGGCGUAGACGUCU